AAUGCUCUUCACUUUUUGUAUGUCUCUCUUAUGAUGCCCUUGGUUUAGUUCAUGGAUCUCUCUCCUAAUGAGCUGAUGAUCUGAAUCAGGUGUGUUAUGAAGUAUAUGGAUAAUAUACAAAAUGUGCGAAGCAGUGGUACCCCAGGACUAGAAUUGAGGACUCCUCCCCUAGGGCAUUGGUCCCCAACCCUGUUCCUGGAUCCCACAACAUGUCAUCAUGAUUUGUGUCAUGUCUGAUUCAUGUCAUAAACUCAGUUUUAGACACUAGAAGACCUGCCAUGGGUGUGCCAGACAAAAGAGACAUAUAAAAUGUGUAGUGUUGUGGGGCUUCAGGAACAUUGUUGGGAGCCACUGCAUGAAAGUGUUGAGUCCACCCUUCAUCCCUGUCAUGAUGUGAAAAGCUUUUGUCUUUCUGAUGUCUGUUGACUGUUUCGGCUCUCAUUCUGACGGCACCCAUUUACUGCAGAGGAUCCACUGCCUCCUGGAAGAUCAAAGCCUGGUCCGACUGUACUUUCCAACCCAACAGGACAAUCAACAAUCUCCGUCUAUUAUGACAGACUUUGUUCUAUUUUGUAUAGAUGCCUAUGAUGCUUUGCAAAAUGUAUCUGCCGCAUCUGAAACCUGGAGUCUGAGAGAGAAAAAAAGGGAUUGUAGGGUAAGACCACAGUGAAGAUUAAAAGCUGAAGCCAACAUCUGUUGAUUCGAAAUACGGACAAAGAAGACACUUGACGCUUGGCAACCGCAAUGAUGAGGCCAAAUGACAUUUCUAAUGAUUGUGCACUUCAAAGUGCUUCCUCUGAGAACAGGGAGCAUGACUGCAGAGGAAACUCAAGUAAAGUAUAUGUCAGACAUCUCUAUUUCAAUUGAUAUAUAAGAAUUGUGGGAUUUCACCAAAGGAAUCCAAAUUUUUCACUAGAUUAUCUGAUGUAGUAAACUUUGCCUUUUAUCAUGGACAUUUUAUGGUUUUAAUUAGUAAUCAAGAACCGAGUAAUGCUUAUUAGCGGUGUUGGCUAAGGCUAGCUACUGCUAUUACACAUACUUAAGGAUAAAGAUGGCAUGAAAUGAAAGAUUUAAAUGCAUGUAAUAGAUCAGUGAAAACGAAAACUGCUGUCCGG
ensembl:lncRNA